GUCCCCUAAUUAAUAUAAGCCCAGUAAUCGCUGCUUAAUACAUGUUUAUUUCUUGUUUAUGACUGAUUUGUUUUAUGUCUGACUUGUUUAUUACUAACACAAAAUAUCGUCCAUGUAUAAGCACCCCCGUAUAUAAGCCCCCCCCCUUGUAUAAGCCCAUCAAAAAUCGCUUAUGAAAGUAUAUAAGCUCAGGGCUUAUAGUCGGAGGUUUACAGUAGAGUGUAGCGAAAUAGGAGAAUAAUAAUCUAUUAUGAGAAUAAGCCUGUUACACUUCUUUGAAGCAUUAAGAUGCUGAUUAGUUGACUAUUUGACUUUUGUGAGACUGUGGUUACAUGUAUAGUAU